rnacentral:rRNA from 1 species
UACGGAGGGUGCGAACGUUAAUCGGAAUCACUGGGCGUAAAGCGCGCGUAGGCGGUUCGUUAAGUGGGAUGUGAAAUCCCCGGGCUUAACCUGGGAAUUGCAUUUCAAACUGGCGAACUAGAGUGCGGUAGAGGGAGGUAGAAUUUCCUGUGUAGCGGUGAAAUGCGUAGAUAUCCAAAGGAACACCGGUGGCGAAAGCGGCGCGCUGGACCUCUUCUGACGCUGAGGCGCGAAAGCCAGGGGAGCAAACGGG